CCCCUCUCAGGGUCGCACCUGGGGAGUUUCCAGUACUCUACCAGUCUCGACUACAGGAGGGAGAGUCAAGCAGAGGCCUAUCUAUUCCACCCCUAGCUUGGGCAGUGGCUAGCGAGUGGAAGGCAAUCUGCUACAAAC
rnacentral:snoRNA from 1 species